rnacentral:lncRNA from 1 species
UAUGGAUGUUGGGGCAUCUUUUUAGGUUUUGUUGUGGUUUUGUGUGGACAUACAGUGCCCAUUUGUGUGUCCCCUCUAGAAAAAACAAAGGGGGACCCUUUUCUGGGAGCUCGGGGAGGAGUGGCCGAUGUUACGGGCUUUGUGAUCACCGACACGCGCUCUCCGAGGGUGCAGACAGCGUGUACAUAUGUGUGCAUGUGUGUUCUUGCGUGUGUGUGUGUGUGCAUGUGUGCGCCACGACCCUGCAUCCAAGCGGGGGUACGGCCGCGCCCGCCGGCGUCAUGUGACGAUUUCUUUCACGACCCGGUCCUGUUCGGAUUUUGUCUCAUUGCAGGUUUAGGCUUCCGGAGGAUCCGCCUGCGUUCUGGCUACUCUCAGGACUUCUGGACGGCUCUGAGGCCCAGUGGACACAGGUCCCUAACGGGGUUAGGGGUUAGGCUCCCUAACGCGAGGGAGAAGGAGGUGGCACGCACCAGAAAGAGUCUGUACUCCUGCACAUCUCUAGGUGUAAGCGGGACAGGGGGGCUUUUUUUCCCCCUUCUUUCUAUUGCAGAAUAAGCGAUGUGUAUAGUGAAAGAUUGCCCUGCACCUUCUGGAUUUCCAAGUGUUCUCCCUCCUUCUUGGGUAAAAGUCAGCUGAGCACAUCCACCCGUGUGCCGGGCACCAGCACUGGGCACUGCGUACCUGGACUGGAGCCAGCGCAGCCUGAAUGCGUUGUUUCGUUGUGUUGCGUUGUAUGUUUCUCCCCUGAAUCCCCCAGAUUCAGUGUUUUUCCUUGGAAACUGGCUUUCCUUUCAAGGGUAGUGAAAGGGCCAUAUCUUUUAGCAAGAAGAUUGGGGGAGGUUGUGUUAACGUAGAAUCAGAUAAAAUAAUGAUACUUUUCUUAACCUUUUCUGGUAUAAUUUAUCAUAAAGCAGUCGAUUUUUAUAAAACCUUUAAGUGUGCUAUAAAUCCACAAUACAAAUAUUGCUGCUAAUAAUAACCAGCACGGCUCAUUGUCUUUUGUUUUGUAGGAGAGGCAGUAUAUAGGGAAGGAAAACUAGCGGUGUACGAGAGUGUUUGUUUUUCUUUUUAUUUCUUCGCCGUUGAUGUUUGACAGCAUUUUGUGUCUAGGUGAAUUCAGUCUCAAAAGUGACUAAGCAUAUUGCUCAGUGGAAUGGUUCUCACUGGAAAUGUAUUUUAGUAGCUACAGAUUUUAACUUCCCAGGUUUGUAUUAGAGGCUAUAGUUAAUCUUUAAAGCGAAGAGUAUUUAAUGUUUCCAUUUCUUUCUGAUACAUGACUUUUGCUCUUCUAGGUUUCACUAGGAGGCUGACUGCACUUCACCUUCUAGUUUUUUUGUGUACAUCUAUUUGCUAAUAUGUUUCAACUGAAAUUGUGCAAGAAUUUUGUAACAUGCUAAGCCUGUGUAUUUGCAACAGAAUGAUUUAUAUGCAAUAAUGUAACUGCUGUUUGGAUGUUUACUAACUACCAGUGGCCUUGCAAACAUUUAAAGAAUCAGAAUUUUUCAAUGGAUUAUAUCAGUCCUUGGGAAAGUGUAAGGGCUUUCCACUUUAGUAUUUACCCUGCUCAUAUAAGCAUAUUGAUUAAAUAGUCUCUUUCCAGAACUCUCAUUUGGAGAGAAAUUUUAUAUAGUGUACAAAUACAGCAAAUCAGGGGGCUGGAGAUUUAGCUCUGCGGCAUAAGUGCCUGCCUUGGAAGCAGGCAGUCGUGAGUUCGAUCCCUGGUACCGGUAAAAACGAAAAAGACCAAAAAAAAAAAAGAAAGAAAGAAAAAGAAAACAAAUACAGC